UCUCCGUAGGUGAACCUGCGGAGGGAUCAUUACCGAGCUCAUGCCCUUACGGGUAGAUCUCCCACCCUGUGUUAUUAUUACCUUUGUUGCUUUGGCGGGCCGCCAGGCUCCGGUCAGGCUAUCGGCUUCGGCUGGUAAGCGCCCGCCAGAGGACCCUAUAUCCUGAUUAUUAGUGUCGUCUGAGUACUAUAUAAUAGUUAAAACUUUCAACAACGGAUCUCUUGGUUCUU
rnacentral:misc_RNA from 1 species